UCGCACUGUUCGUAAUCUGGCUCUUUUUCAGUAUGAGCUCUUGGUUCCAUUCCAGUGCUAGAUUGAGCCCCAUUGAGGCAGGGGAGCAGUGACUGUCAGUGCGUGCUCCCUGUUCACUCUCUGGGAACAUUU